GCCGUCGUAGCUUAGUGGUAAAGCACCUCUUUGGUAAAGAGGAGAGCACGGGUUCAAUCCCCGUCGACGGCUCCA
rnacentral:tRNA from 1 species